rnacentral:rRNA from 1 species
UACGAAGGGGGCUAGCGUUGCUCGGAAUCACUGGGCGUAAAGCGCACGUAGGCGGCUUUCUAAGUCAGGGGUGAAAUCCUGGAGCUCAACUCCAGAACUGCCUUUGAUACUGGAAAGCUUGAGUUCGGGAGAGGUGAGUGGAACUGCGAGUGUAGAGGUGAAAUGCGUAGAUAUCUGGAGGAACACCGGUGGCGAAGGCGGCAUCCUGGACUACUACUGACGCUGAGUGAGCGAAAGCCAGGGGAGCAAACGGG